rnacentral:rRNA from 1 species
UACGUAGGGGGCAAGCGUUGUCCGGAUUUAUUGGGCGGUAAAGCGCUCGCAGGUGGUCCGAUGCGUCGUGCGUGAAAGACCCCGGCUCAACUGGGGAGGUCGUGCGAUACGGUCGGACUGGAGGCCAGUAGGGGGAUGCGGAAUUCCGGGUGUAGUGGUGGAAUGCGUAGAGAUCCGGAGGAACACCAGCGGCGAAGGCGGCAUCCUGGACUGGUCCUGACACUCAGGAGCGAAAGGCGUGGGGAGCGAACGAGGAU